UCUGGUGUCUUCUUUGCACCAUGUUGCCACUUACUACAGGCCCAGGUCCCUCGACCCAAGGAGGUUCAACCUGAAGUGGUGCCCUCGAACAGGGACACUGUGUGCCCCCUGGGAGUCGAGACAGCACCCCAUCCAGUGUGGGUUCCUGCCCGAGAUGUCCAACCAGCCACAACUGACGACAUCAGAGAUGAAACAAAUGACCCUCGACGACAGACGUUCAGGGGGUGGACCAACUCGGCGCAGGAGACGACACCUGGCUAAGACCACUUCAGCACCCCCAGUUACAUGGGGGGCCCUCAAGGCGCUUUGCAACAAAGCCUAGAACACGUUCUCACCUGAACAAACAACCACUGCCAAGCUGUUCCUGAUGAUAUGUGCCAUUAUUACAAUCAACUCUGCUCAGGCAGCCGAGGUCUCUAUCCCUGUCUGGGCAGCCCUACGCAAUCCACCUGGUCUUCUUAUUGUUACCUCUGACUCUCCUACUUUUCCUAAAUUCUUCACUACCCAUUGCUUUCCAGGAAUUCCCUGUGAUCCCCACAUAAAACCCGCGAUGGUCUCCUUCUCCAACUGGACUCUGCCUACCAAUUUUCCAAACCCCUUUACUUUUCAGGCUUGUGCCAACACCUCAGACCAGCCCAACAACCUAACCGCCCAUCUAACGCUUUUCAAUUACACCACAGCAGACUUCUCUAGGUUCAACAUGAGUGGCCAACAACAAAAGUUUCUUCAGAUUAACCUCCUCACCCCCAUGAGCAGAUGCAAGCCAGGAGCAAACACCACACUUCAAAACUUUCCCUGCUUCUCUGAUAAAAUCUUCGAUACUGCUCGACCACUAUUUGCCCCUUGCAAACCUCCAAGCCUAACUUUAGACUUACAGAUAUCACUUGGGAUGCCUGCCUUUCUUCACUUAGACCUUUCAAAAAAGACAACUAUAUAGCUCUAUGGACUCUCCUUUUCUUCACCCUGGGGACAAUGGAUCCCUCCCCUUUACAGGAUGCAACCCAUUUUCCUUCACAGGGAGACGCUCUAUAUUCUCCUCCCAUCAGUUAUGUGGAAACUUCAGAUGCCUUGACAUCCUUCCGAUGAUGCUCAUGGGCAAUACCUCUAUUACUAAUGGCACUUAUUCCAUUCCCAACCCUAGCCUCCUUAAUGCCACCAGCAGCUCUGGUGGUAUCACCGAAAUGUGCACUGGUGGUCUUGCCCAAAUAACAACAAUCAACUCACUCUGCUCACAAAGCUUGCCCCCAAAUGAUAUCUCCUGGUUACCCUUGGUUAACCUCACUUACAAAAAUAACUACUCAUAUUUUUCAGCAGCCUGUGUUGCCCCCCCCUUUUUACUUCUCUUGUCCACGGGUGCCUCUUUUAACUGCUCCUUGGCAGGCACCUGCUACCUGUCUAACUGCUGAAAUGGAACUCCUCCAUAUAUGCUCAUCCUUCGCACCCCUUCUGUCCUUUGGGUGCCAGUUAAUAUCUCUGAUUGGGUAGCUCCAUCACUUCCUAUCCGGCUUUCUUCCACCUCCCUACAGAUACACAAGAGAGAUUUCGGAGCCUCUGCUAUUAUCGCCCUUAUUAUUGCUUUUAUUACAGCCACAGCAGCCAGAGCCACAGCAGCCGUCAGGCUCACCCAAUCCACCGUGACCGCUCAAGGACUUAACAACCUUUCCCAUACUGCCGCUGAAACUUUCUGAGUACAACAACAGCUUAAUGCAUAUACCCAUAUGGCUCAGCUUAAUCUCCAACAACAACUUGACCUCAUAGACAAUGAAAUUCAGGACCUCUGGCAUGUUGCUACCACUCCCUGUGACCAACGCUUCUCGUCAGCCCCACUUUGUGUCACACCAAAACCAGCCAACCUCUCUUCUGCUCGUCUUUCGUUCCGUGAGUGGAUCCUUGGCCCUUACAACAGCACUUACUUCAACGUCUCUCUUCAACUGACUGAACAAAUACAACCUAUUGACUCUAUCCAAGUUCCUAUUCUAAUGGACGAUGUCCUCUCCGAUCUCCUACAUAACCUACAGCGCCUAUGCUCACCAGCCAAUUUACUUAC